rnacentral:rRNA from 1 species
CUUCGGCCGUUAGUAGAGCGGCGGACGGGUGAGUAACACGUGGGUAACCUACCCUCGGGUGGGGAAUAACUCAGGGAAACCUGGGCUAAUUCCGCAUAACGUCCAGAGCUCGUAAGGGCAUUGGAUCAAAGCUGGGGACCCUUCGGGGCCUGGCGCCUGUGGAUGGGCCCGCGUCCGAUUAGCUUGUUGGUGAGGUAACGGCUCACCAAGGCUUCGAUCGGUAGCCGGCCUAAGAGGGCGGACGGCCACACUGGGACUGAGAUACGGCCCAGACUCCUACGGGAGGCAGCAGUGGGGAAUUUUUGGCAAUGGGGAAACCUUGACCAAGCAACGCCGCGUGGAGGAUGAAGACCCUCGGGUCGUAAACUCCUGUCGGAGGGGACGAAAGCGGUAGCAGUUAAUACCUGCAAUCGUUGACGGUACCCUACGAGGAAGCCCCGGCUAACUCCGUGCCAGCAGCCGCGGUAAUACGGGGGGGGCAAGCGUUGUUCGGAAUUACUGGGCGUAAAGGGCGCGUAGGCGGCCUGACAAGUCCUACGUGAAAUCCCACAGCU